AUUGAACGCUGGCGGCAUGCCUUACACAUGCAAGUCGAACGGCAGCACGGGGCAACCUGGUGGCGAGUGGCGAACGGGUGAGUAAUGCAUCGGAACGUACCUUUCAGUGGGGGAUAACGUAGCGAAAGUUACGCUAAUACCGCAUAUUCUGUGAGCAGGAAAGCAGGGGAUCGCAAGACCUUGUGCUGAUUGCGCGGACGAUGUACACUUAGCUAGUUGGUGAGGUAAAGGCUCACCAAGGCGACGAUCUGUAGCGGGUCUGAGAGGAUGAUCCGCCACACUGGAACUAGAACACGGUCCAGACUCCUACGGGGGGCAGCAGUGGGGAAUUUUGGACAAUGGGGGCAACCCUGAUCCAGCCAUGCCGCGUGAGUGAAGAAGGCCUUCGGGUUGUAAAGCUCUUUCGGCCGGGAAGAAAUCGCACGGGCUAAUACCCCGUGUGGAUGACGGUACCGGAAUAAGAAGCACCGGCUAACUACGUGCCAGCCGCCGCGGUAAAAC
rnacentral:rRNA from 1 species